rnacentral:rRNA from 1 species
GUGUCAGCAGCCGCGGUAAUACAGAGGUCCCAAGCGUUGUUCGGAUUCAUUGGGCGUAAAGGGUGCGUAGGCGGCGAGGCAAGUCUGGUGUGAAAUCCCGGGGCUCAACCCCGGAACUGCACUGGAUACUGCCUUGCUAGAGUACUGGAGAGGGAACUGGAAUUUACGGUGUAGCAGUGAAAUGCGUAGAUAUCGUAAGGAAGACCAGUGGCGAAGGCGAGUUCCUGGACAGUUACUGACGCUGAGGCACGAAGGCCAGGGGAGCAAACGGGAUUAGAUACCCCGGUAGUCCUGGCAGUAAACGGUGCGCGUUUGGUGUGGGAGGAUUCGACCCCUUCCGUGCCGGAGCUAACGCGUUAAACGCGCCGCCUGGGGAGUACGGUCGCAAGAUUAAA